GACGAACGCUGGCGGCGUGCCUAAUACAUGCAAGUCGAACGAGUGGCGGACGGGUGAGUAAUGCUUGGGAAUCUAGCUUAUGGAGGGGGAUAACUACGGGAAACUGUAGCUAAUACCGCGUACCAUAGGAUGAGCCCAAGGGGGAUUAGGUAGUUGGUGAGGUAAAGGCUCACCAAGCCGACGAACUCUAGCUGGGCUGAGAGGAUGACCAGCCACACUGGGAAUGAGACACGGCCCAGAAUCCUACGGGAGGGCGCAGUGGGGAAUAUUGCGCAAUGGGGGGAAACUGACGCAGCCAUGCCGCGGGAAUGAAGAAGGCCGUCGGGUUGUAAAGUUCUUUCGGUAGCGAGGCGUUAACUACAGAAGAAGCACCGGCUAACUCCGUGCCAGCAGGCGCGGUAAUAC
rnacentral:rRNA from 1 species